rnacentral:rRNA from 1 species
CCUACGGGAGGCAGCAGUGAGGAAUAUUGGUCAAUGGGCGGGAGCCUGAACCAGCCAAGCCGCGUGAGGGAAGAAGGUACAGCGUAUCGUAAACCUCUUUUGUCAGGGAACAAAGGCGGGGACUAGUCCCCGGAUGAGGGUACCUGAAGAAAAAGCAUCGGCUAACUCCGUGCCAGCAGCCGCGGUAAUACGGAGGAUGUGAGCGUUAUCCGGUUUUAUUGGGUUUAAAGGGUGCGCAGGCGGCCUGUUAAGUCAGCGGUAAAAGCCCGGGGCUCAACCCCGGCGAGCCGUUGAAACUGGGGGGCUUGAGUUGGAGAGAAGUACGCGGAAUGCGCGGUGUAGCGGUGAAAUGCUUAGAUAUCGCGAAGAACCCCGAUUGCGAAGGCAGCGUACCGGCUCCACACUGACGCUGAGGCACGAAAGCGUGGGUAUCGAACAGGAUUAGAUACCCUAGUAGUC